rnacentral:sRNA from 10 species
GGCUUGUCAGUUUGGCCUUUUAGUCUAAAGUAGUGCACAGAGUCUGGAUGACUCACUUCAGGAUGAAGCGCUCAGGGAAUGUCAGGAUGACAAAGAGCGAGGGAAAAAGGAAACAGGUUCAGUGGACCAGAACCCUAACGGAAAGGGAAGCACUCGGGAUGAGUGGACGGCACAUGGAAAAACCGGGAUGUUGAUUGCAUAAAUGGAUGUAAUGGAAGACUGUCCUUCUACGGAAGGUGCGAAAAAAGGCGACAGGGUGACCUGCCGCCUUUUUUCUUU